GAUGAACGCUAGCGGCAGCCUUAACACAUGCAAGUCGAGGGGUAGCAGGGCUUCGGCCGCUGACGACCGGCAAACGGGUGCGGAACACGUACGCAACAUACCCUUUACAGGGGGAUAGCCCGGAGAAAUCCGGAUUAACACCCCAUAGUAUGAAUUGAAGGCAUCUUCGUUUCAUUAAAAAUUUAUUGGUAAAGGAUUGG
rnacentral:rRNA from 1 species